GGAGUUGUAGCUCAGCGGUAGAGCACUUGCCUCAUACGUGUGAGUUCGAUUCCUAGCACUGGGUUCGAUUCCUAGCACCA
rnacentral:tRNA from 1 species